rnacentral:ncRNA from 1 species
AAAAAUUCUAAGAAGAGGAAAGUAAUUUAAUUAAUUCCUUUAGCGAAUAGGGAGAUGGUGUAAGCCCUAUGGAUAGAUUAAGUGAAAAGAGCCUUGGAGAAAUCACCUGAAAUAAGUAGUUAAAAAGAUAAUAAUCUAAUAUAGCUGGUAUGAUAUAUUAAUUAUUAUUUUUAAACCUUUAGUAGGGCUGGUCGCAAGUUAAAUUGCGUUAAAAGUUGAGAGGUAUUUUAUUUAUAUAAAAUACAAUAAGAGUGGUACCGCGGAUAAUUCGUCUCUUUU